GACGAACGCUGGCGGCGUGCUUAACACAUGCAAGUCGAACGGAAAGGCCCUGCUUUUGUGGGGUGCUCGAGUGGCGAACGGGUGAGUAACACGUGAGUAACCUGCCCUUGAAUUUGGGAUAACUUCAGGAAACUGGGGCUAAUACCGGAUAGGAGCUCCUGCUGCAUGGUGGGGGUUGGAAAGUUUCGGCGGUUGGGGAUGGACUCGCGGCUUAUCAGCUUGUUGGUGGGGUAGUGGCUUACCAAGGCUUUGACGGGUAGCCGGCCUGAGAGGGUGACCGGCGACAUUGGGACUGAGAUACGGACCAGACUCCUACGGGAGGCAGCAGUGGGGAAUAUUGCACAGUGGGCGGAAGCCUGAGGCAGCAACGCCGCGUGCGGGAUGACGGCCUUCGGGUUGUAAACCGCUUUCGACUGUGACGAAGCGUGAGUGACGGUAAUGGGUAAAGAAGCACCGGCUAACUACGUG
rnacentral:rRNA from 1 species